rnacentral:lncRNA from 1 species
UUUUUUUUUCUGUUUUAGCUCAGACAGGUUCUCGAUAAUGUGUUCAAACGUGUUUAACUUGAGUUGGACCAGAUUUAGUUUAAACUUAUCGGAGGCCAUAUUUUUCAAACUGUUCGUCCAAACUAAUUGUUUCUUUUUGCUUUAUGACUGUAUCAGCAUGUAGAUGAUUUAUAUCUGUUGUCAUGCUACUUUUGUUUUGGUUUUACAAAACUGUUUUCUUGUUGUUGGUUUUUAUUUGGUGUUAUAUGAAUGUGGUGAUUGAUUGUUGUCAUUGUUUGAAACGUGUAGAUUGCCGGAGUGUGACGCAAACUAUUGUCAGGAGUGUGAUCUUUUGAACCAGAAUCAAGGCAAGUUACAUGUUGAUCAUCCUUCACCUAUUAUUUUUCUAUGCAUGUAGUAUUAUAUCACCCUAUGAAAUUAUGCAUGUAUAGGAAUAUAGUUAUUAUGCUAUGCUAUUAAGCUAUCCCCUCGGCAUUGAAGAUCUUGGUAUUUGUAGAUUGCUAUGCUUUGUAGACGGGCUUGGUUCCUGUAUUCACUGAGUUUAUGUGAGGAUUACUAUGAAAUAAAUUGAGUAGUAAUUAAGGAUAUAAUACACCUCUGGGAGGAUAUGGUAUUGUUGGGUGGUUUCAAGAACAUCAUGGUUUCGACCCUCUGAAUGUAAGCGGAAUGUCGCCCAGGUUCAAAAAGAUCAGACAGACUUAGUGACUAGUAGCUUCCAUGUGCGACCACUGGCUGUAUGGGCUCUGGCUUAGUUGAUCAGUUGUGGGAACAUUACCCGAAUGUGCCAGUAGAUGUAGUUAUGGUAGUUGGGAUGGGCCUCCUAUGGGACUAGGUGACUGCAUCAAGGGGCAUCUCCACAUAAGCCUUUAGCCAUAGGAUCGGGGUCCCUAGGCUAUUGUAAGUGCAUCUAGUGCCCCUUAGUGAUUUUGGUGGUUUGAAGACUUAUAGGUUAGCUAUCUAAUGUGUUCAUGAGUGUACACAGGAUCUAUAAGUCGCUGAGGAGUUUGAAAUAUUCGAUGAAUAUCGACCCCUAAAAAUGUAUAUCUUCGGCUGAAGAAAUUGGUCUGAAGCUGAAGAAUUGAAUUGUGAAGAAAUUGCGAUGAAAUUGAUAUUCCUCAUGAAGAAAUUGAAGAUUAGGAAUUCGGUGUGUCCUGAAGAAAAACAACCUGAAGAUUUUGAAGCAUGAAGAUUUAUUCUCUCUAUUUUAUUUUCUUCACCUUUGAGUCAUAGGAACACCGUACUGUUAAAGGGGGUCAAAGUAACACGUCAGAAUGAAUUUCCUCAUGAUGCUCAACCCAAGCCUAAUCCUACCAAAAGCCUCAAGUGAGAAAUAUGAGAGACAUGAGGACUCUCACAGUUGAGGGUCCCGACCGUUACCGCAAGUCGCGCCACAUCACUGAUCUUAUCCACACCAACGGUCAUAUUAUUUAAGGGCAUUAAGGUAAAAUCAUGUCGGGAUGCUCCCAGGCUAUAAAUAGCCACCCCCACAACCAUUAGCUGGUUGGCUGCUCCGUUGGAAACUGACACUUGUCAUAAGAGCAACCCAAAUUCCUCAGAGUCUUCAAGAGUAAUUCAUCAGUGAGGAAAUACCCCAAACACCAAACCACAAACCGAAAACCAAGUGAUUGAGCAUCACUGAAGAAGUUGUUCCUAUGUGGGACUGAAGCCUUUUACCUUUGAGGACUAUGCAUCCUCUAGACGGUUAGGCGUCAUGGUCUAGAGCAAUCCAGCACUCAAUUGUGGAUCGCCAAGUGACCAAGUUUGUGAGGGUUUGGAAGUCUGUCCUGAAGACUUACCACGAGUGUUGGGCGAGGACUCUGUGUUCUUAGCCCAAUGAGAAUACGGUAGGGACUGUGUGUCCCAGGAUUGUGUGUCUUUUGGUUUCAAUACCAAGCCGCUCCAAACCAGAUGUAAAAUUGUCACAGAAGUUGGAACUGGAUCAUCAACCACUGUCUUCACUGUGAAACGGGUUCUAUUUCUUCAACUCUUUAAAUUCCUCAUACUGUAUGUUGAUGAUUUUCACUGUCACUGUUUGAAGAAUUUGCUGAAGACUUUCUCUGAAAUUCCUCAACCCCAACUUCUUCACGCGAGUUAAUCCUCAUCUGUUUUCUCCGUGCCUGCAUACCGUGCAAACUAUUUUUCAUAUUCUUCACCUUGAAAACUGUUGUAGUGAUACUUUGCACUCCUGAUCCUUUGUUGUUUCCGCUGCAAGUUAGUCAUUAGUGAGGAAUUUCCUCAAACGGAAUUUCCUCAGUGAUGAAAUUCUAAAAAUCUCCUAUUCACCCCCCCCCUCUAGUCGAUAUAACGCACUUUCAAUUGGUAUCAGAGCAAGGUACUCCCUUGUUCUGUGUGAUUUUGGUUUAACCACCUGGAGUUUUAGUUAUGUCGACUACAAACAUGAUCUAGGUUACUGCGGGAUGUCCUACUUUCGAAGGAAAGGACUUUCCCUUCUGGAAGACCGAGAUGCAAAUGCAUCUACAAGCUAUUGACAAUGAUCUCUGGUAUAUUGUGGAACACGGUGUCCCUAUCGUCGCUGCUACUAUCUCUGCCGCUGAUGUGAAGAAAUUCAAGCAACUUGAUUCUCAAACGAAGAAUAUCAUCUGUGGCCAUCUGAGCAAGGGCCAGUAUGGCAGAGUGAGUGCUUUGGGCUCAGCAAAACUUAUCUGGGAAAGGUUGUCCAAAGUUAAUGAAGGAGUAUCAACCCAGCGUGAUUCUCGUGUUGAUGUUCUUCACAAUCUCUUCAAUUGCUUCAAGAGACUUAACAAUGAAAGCUGCCAAGAUACCUUUGAUCGCCUCAGUGACAUAUCAAAUGAACUGGAAGCACUGGGAGCUCGAGACAUUACUGACCAUGAAGUUGUGAAGAAACUGGUAAGAUCUUUGGAUUCUUCAUUUGAUACUUUAGUUCUGAUGAUUCAAGAAAGACUAGACUACAAGAUGCUUGAUCCAGCUGAUAUACUCGAAAGACUCAAUACUCAUGAAUUCCAACAAGAAGAAAAGAGAGAUCUAUAUGGACCAAGCUAUUCUAGACCACGUGCACUGAAGGCCAAAGCAAUUUCCUCAUCUGAAGAAGAAGUCUCGGAUGGUAGCAUUGGUGAUCCUGAAGAAUUUGGACAGGAGCUUGCAAUGCUCAUGAGGAAAUUCCAGAAGUUUACACGACGUGGCCAGUUUGGUAAAUCUUCAAUAAGAGAUAUGAGGAAAUCAGAAUCUUCAUCUGAGGACUACAAGAAAAGAACCUGCCACAAAUGCAAGAAAUCGGGUCACUACAUUGCUGAUUGUCCUCGUUGGGGAAAGGAAUCAAAGAAGAAGAAAUACAAGGAUGAAAGUUAUGAUGACUCGAAGAAAAAGAAGAAAUCUUCAAAAUCCUCAUCUUCAAAGUCCUCAUCGCACAAGAAGACUAUUUUCAGAAAGGCUGGGGCACUUAUUGGCAAGGAAAUGGAUUCUGAGGCAGAAUCCGAGGAAUGUGAUGAAGAGGAGGGUUAUGAUGAAGACUCAGAAUCUGGACAGGCUAGCCUUGCACUUGCAACCACAUUUGUCAGCAAGUCAAUCUUCAACCUUGAAGAAAAUGAUAACACCAUCCACAUUGAUGACUAUGCUGAUGACUUCGCUCCAACCUAUUGCUUCAUGGCAAAAGGUUUAAAGGUACCGAAUGAUGCUUCCUCCUCUGAUUCAAGUGACUAUGAACCUGAUGAUUAUAAAAAACCCAGUUACAGUAAACUUGCUAUCAUUGCCACUAAACAACAAACUGCCCUGGAAAAGCUUCAGAAACUGCUAGACGGAAGUGAUGAUCUGUUGAAUGAUGAAAUGAAUCUUACCCAAAUCCUCACUGAAGAUAUGAAAAGUCUUUAGUCCAGAUUUGAUAAUCUUCAAGAUCGUCAUGUUACACUCCUUGCUGAUCAUGAGAAACUUUCCUAUGAAUUUCUUCAAAGGAAGCUUGAUCUUGAGAAGCUAAGGAUUUCUCAUGACGAUCUUCGUAUGGAAAAUGAUUCAUUACUAGCUCAACAGAUCAGUGCUGCUCAAGCUGAAUUCAUUCCUCCAUGUCUUAAAUGCAUCGAAUGUGAAACUGCUAAUUCUUCACCAGAAUCAUCAAAUGCUUCUAUUGCUACAAAUUCUUCAACUGCCCCUGUAGUGUCAAAUUCCUCACUUGAGGAAACCACAAAUGUCACUGAUGAAAAUGCUGGGCUGAAGGAAUUGUAUGUGACAGGCAUAUACAAAAGUCUCAAAGGACACCAAACCCUUUGUGAUGUGCUCAAAAAGCAGAUCUUGAACAGGAACCCGAGGAAAGAAGGAAUUGCCUUUGAGAGGAAAUUGAAUGCUGAUGGAUCAUACUGGAAACCUGAGCAGUAUCCCAAAACCUCAUGGGUUGCUUCUACUGGGCCUCCUUUUGAUCCAUCCAAUCUAACAGGCUUUUCAUGUGAUAUAUCCUAUUCCUCAGAUGAGUCAUUUGACUCCAACUAUAAACUGUUCAAAAAUCAAUCUGGUGAAGUAUUUGCUCGAUAUGUUGGAACUAACUGCAGGAAUGGGCCUCUCCUGAGGAAGAUCUGGGUUCCCAAAAGUUGCCUUGAAAAUCUUCAGGUGAAUGUACUCAUGACACCACCUAUGAAGAAUUUGAACCGCAGAUCAAAUUCCUCAGGAGGACCAAAGUCUUCAAGAGGAUCAAAAUCUUCAACUGGUCAAAACUAUGCUCGUACCCGUGCUAAUGCUUCUAACAUGCAGGGAAAUUACAAGGAAUAUGAAUAUGAGUGUUAUUCUUCAAAUCAUUAUGUUCAUAAAUCCUCAAAUAAGUUCUCUACAUAUUCAUUUGAGUACUUUAACCCCCCUACUGUUAAGAGAAGUGCAUUAGCUUCAAUGCCCCCUUUCUCAUAUGGUGCUCGCAGAAUGAUGAAUGCUUUACCACCCCUUCAGAUGUGGGUGGUGAAGAAAUUGAACUAAUCACUUCUGCAGGUCAGGUCUCUAGAUGAAAAUCGUCAUGUGAAGAAUUUGCUGGAAACCUGAGGAAAACGCUUGAUGGGACGCAAGCUAAUAUUUAUGAAAUAGAAAUAUUUCACACGUCCUUAUAAUUCUAUUUAUGAUGAAAUUCCUAUCUGAUGAAAUUGAUAUCAUAUUCUUCAAGUCCGAAGCAUAUGAGAUGGUAAACUGUACUAAUUCAUCUGCAGGAUGACAAACCCAAGAGUACUGAGUGGGUUCUUGAUAGUGGCUGCACACACCACAUGACUGGUGACCAAAGCUUGUUGAUGAAUAUGCCACUAACUCCAUCACCCCUGAAGCAAAUCACAUAUGCUGACAAAGGUAAAAGCAAGCUAUUGGGACUUGGCAAAGUGGCUAUUUCCAAGGAUAGGCACAUGGACAAAGUAAUGCUUGUUGCAUCCCUUGGAUUUAACCUCAUUUCAGUCUCAAUGCUUUGUGAUCUUGAUAUGAUUGUUAUCUUUGGAAGAUAUAGAUGUGUUGUCAUCAUGGAAUCUGAUAGAUCCAAAGUCUUCGAAGGUGUUAGAAGAGGGGAUUGUACAUUGUUGAUUUCUCUACAGGUCCUCAACCAGCCACUUGCUUACUAGCAAAAACCUUAGAAGGGUGGUUGUGGCAUCGAAGACUUGGUCAUGCAGGCAUGAGGAAUUUGCACACGCUCGCGGAGAAGAAGCAUGUCAUCGGCACCGAAUCAGUCAAAUUCCUCAAGGACCACCUCUACGGUGCUUGUGAGUCUGGGAAAAUGACCAGAUCCAAGCACCCCUCGAAGACUAUCAUGACUAGUACUCGUCCAUUUGAAUUGAUUCACAUGGAUCUAUUUGGACCUACUCAUUAUGCCACCCUAACAAAUGCAGCAUCUUUAUAUGGCUUUGUCAUAGUUGAUGAUUAUUCUAGAUACACAUGGGUGCAUAUCAUUUUAUAUAAAACUGAAGUGCAGGAAGUCUUCAAACGAUUUUCCUCAAGGGCCUCGACGAACUUCGGCGUCAAGAUCAAACACAUCAGGAGUGAUAAUGUAACAGAGUUUAAAAAUACUAGUCUUGAUAAUUAUCUUGAUGAACUUGGUAUUACUCACGAAUUGUCUGCUCCUUAUACUCCUCAACAUAAUGGCGUCUUCGAAAGGAAGAACGGGACUCUGGUUGAGAUGGCAAGAACCAUGCUUGAAGAAUAUCAAACUCCUCGUCGCUUUUGGCCUGAAGCAAUUAACAUUGCAUGCCAUAUCAUCAACAGGGUAUAUCUUCACAAAUUCCUCAAGAAAACCUCAUAUGAACUCCUCACACACAAGAAACCCAAUGUAAGUUAUUUCAAAGUCUUCGGUGCAAAAUGCUAGAUUAGAGAUCCUCACCAUAGCUCAAAGUUUGCACCUAAGGCACAUGAGGGUUUUAUGCUCGGUUAUGGAAAGGACUCACACACCUACAGAGUCUUCAACACCUAUCACAACAAAGCUGUUGAGACUGUAGAUGUGCAGUUCGAUGAAACUAAUGGCUCGCAAAGAGAGCAAUUGCCUCCUGGUCCAGAUAAGUUGUCUCCUGAGGAAGCAAUAAAGCUCAAAGCUACUGAAGACAUUGUUCCUACUGAGGAAAUUGAUGAAGAGAUCAUUCCCAGCACUGAUGAAAAUCAAGAAGAUGCUCCUGAGAAAAUAGCUCCUGAACCAAUUCCUCAGCCCAGACGAAAUCCUCAACCAGCUCAUCCGAGGAUUGCAAAUGAAGUGGAACUUGAAAAAAUCCUCAAUGACAUCAACGCGUCAGGUCCUCUCACUCGCUCAAAGCUUCACACUUAGUUAACUUUUGUAGGCAUUUCUCCUUUGUGUCUAUCACAGAACCUUCAAAAGUUGCUGAGGCUUUCAUGGAACCGGAGUGGAUCCAAGCCAUGCAAGACGAACUUCUUCAAUUCAAGUUGAAUGACGUAUGGGAGCUCGUCAAACGACCAGAUCCUCGCAAGCACAAUAUCAUCGGCACCAAGUGGAUUUUCCGAAACAAGCAAGAUGAGGAUGGUCAAGUGGUGAGGAAUAAGGCGCGACUUGUAGCCCAAGGCUACACACAGGUUGAAGGAAUUGAUUUCGAUAAAACUUUUGCACCUGUUGCUAGACUUGAAGCUAUUCGAAUAAUACUUUCUUAUGCUAAUCAUCAUAACAUUAUCUUAUAUCAAAUGGAUGUGAAAAGUGCAUUCCUCAAUGGUAAGCUUGAGGAAGAAGUAUAUGUUGCUCAGCCCCCAGGUUUUGAGGAUCCAAAGAAUCCACACAAAGUCUUCAGACUCAAAAAGGCACUCUAUGGUCUCAAGCAAGCCCCUCGGGCGUGGUAUGAUACAUUGAAGGAAUUCCUCAUGAAGAAAGGCUUCAAACCUGGUUCACUCGAUCCAACUCUUUUCACUAAAUCCUAUGAUAAUGAACUAUUUGUGUGCCAGAUAUAUGGCGAUGACAUCAUAUUUGGCUGUACUAACAAACGUUACAGUGAUGAAUUUGCUUACAUGAUGAGUGAAGAAUAUCACAUGUCUAUGAUGGGGGAGCUGAAAUUCUUCUUAUGUAUUCAAAUUCGUCAACAACGCAAUGGAAUCUUCAUAUCACAGGAGAAAUACCUCAAGGAUGUUCUGAGGAAAUUCGACAUGUAUGAAUGCAAAGGUGCCAAGACUCCAAUGCCUACCAACGACCACCUCUGCACUGACGAAAAUGGUAAAGAAUUCGAUCAGCAGGUAUAUCUCCCCAUGAUUAGCUCUUUACUGUAUUUGUGUGCAUCUAGGCCAGAUAUAAUGCUUAGUGUUUGCAUGUGUGCACGUUUUCAAGCAAAACCGAAGGAAUCACACCAUAAGGCUGUGAAGCAUAUUCUUCGAUACUUAGCUCACACACCAACACUAGGAUUAUGGUACCCCAAGGGCUCAAAUCUUCAUCUUGUGGGAUAUUCUGAUUCUGACUAUGCUGGUGACCGUCUGGAUCGCAAGUCAACCUCCGGCACAUGUCAUUUCCUCGGAAGAUCACUAGUGUGCUGGUCCUCAAAGAAGCAAAACUGUGUUUCACUCUCCACUGCCGAAGCUGAGUACAUUGUUGCUGGUUCAUGAUGUGCUCAAUUACUAUGGAUGAAGCAAACCCUCAAGGACUACGGCAUCAACAUGAAGAAUGUGCCUCUCUACUGCGACAAUGAGAGUGCAAUCAAGAUUGCAUACAACCCAGUACAUCACUCGAAGACUAAGCACAUCCAGAUUCGUCACCAUUUUCUUUGGGACCAUGUCCUCAAGGGCAAUAUCCUCAUCGACCAUGUGAAGACUGACGAUCAACUCGCAGAUAUCUUCACUAAGCCCUUGGAUGAGAAAAGGUUUUGCAAGUUGCGGUGUGAGCUAAAUAUCUUAGAAUCUUCAAAUGUUUUGUAAAAACAUGCACACAUCCUAACACUUAUGAAUAAUUGAUGACUUAGAUGUGCAACACACGAAGAAUCGAUUUUAUUCAACCAAUGAAGAAUAUCACUCUUAGUGUGCGGAAAUCAACGAAGAAAUUGAUUCUCAAGGCCCUACGACAAUUGUACGCAGCGUCUGAAAUCAACAUUCUUAUAUGGUGGGUCACGCCACCAUCCAACUUGAAAUUCCUCAAGUUGAAUUUCUUCAAAGUUGAUUUUCUUCAAAGCAGUUGUUCUUCAAACUUGUCUUUCUUCAAAACUGAAAUUCAUCAUCACGACGCUUUGUCACAAAAUCCUCAAGUUAAUCAAAAUCUUCAAAAACACUUGAUGAUUUUCAUUUGCCUAGAUAUAUAUAUAGACUGUGAUUUCAAAGUCCUCAACAGCAUUCACUUAUAGCUAUUUCUUCAAUUUGAUAUUUCAUCUAAGUGAAUGUGAUCGGACCCUACUUUCCCUCCAUGCUACUCUCACCCAGUCUAUUCAAUUCUUCAUAUGCGUUCUACUUGAAACUUUGUUCAAAAUCCUCACCGCGUCCUUGUCAGCUGAUGAUUUUGUAACAAAAUCCUCAGAUCUUCAAAAAUGAUUUUUAUAUUGUUACACAGUAACUGAACCCCACUUCCCACGAUCACCUAAGCACGAUCUCCACCGCUUUAAACGGUUGUUACACGUGUCAUGCGGAGACGAAAGGACAGGGGUAGUUCGGUCCGAAAGAAUCGGCCAGACAGUUUUCACCUGGGCUAUAAAUAUGUCCUUAGCCCCCUCGGUCAAAACUCUUCGCUCUCUCUCUCUCGACCUCCUCUCCGCUACACCAAAGCCCUAGCGCCACCGCUAGAAGUCUCGUCGCCGGCGAGGAAAAGAUUGACUGUCUCGACCUCUCCGUCGCCGAAAUAACGUCAGAACCAGAUCAUCUUCGUCCGCCGCCGCCGUAGUUGUCCUCUGUUGCCGAGUUAGGGCGCAGUGGACUCCUACCGAAGAGCAUCUACUGCUACUUCUUUCUCUGUUCUUCGUGAGCGCUAUAUAGGGUAAAUAAAAACCCUAUUUUUACAGCCCUUUCGAUCUACUAUUUUACGUAGAUUUGUGAAACCUGUUUUUCCUCAAGUGUCCAUCAGUCUCUAUUCCUCAAACACUGCUUAUUCCUCAACCCACUGGUUAAAUUCCUCAACUUUAAAAAAAAUCAUUUCAUCAAAUCUGAGAACGCAUAUGACCUCUCCAAAUUUCUCGCAACUAUACUCUAUUCACACGUACAAAAAUGUCAGCUGAUGAAUCUCUAGGUUCUGAUCAACUUAACUCAUUUGCAGCGUUUCUUGAAGAAAAUCUGCAAGUUUCAUCGGAAUCCUCAAGAGUUCAUUUUCCUCAGCAAAAGCCUCAGCUGAAGAAAAUGGAAGAUGAAAGGAAGCAAAAGGGUGGCAAGAAUCUUGAACAGAACACAGCCAUCGAUAUUCCUGAGGACAUAUACCUCGAAUACUGUACACCUGAUGAGCAAGAGACAAUUCCCAAGAGGAAGAUAAGGCUUCAGAAGAUAGAACGCCGGUGGGCUAAGGAGUGGAAAGAAUACAGAUUCGUCACUCCCAAGUACGCGAAGAAAUUCGCUCUUAAGCCUCCUGGCAAACGGCCUCCUCUUGAGGAUUAUCAGGAUGCACACCCCUCAAGCCUCAAGACAAUUGAUGACUAUCCUGAGGAAAAGACAAAACAUUUGUCAAAGCUUCAGAAGCAGGCAGAAGCUGUUGUGAGGAAAUUUAAUGAAGAAUCUGUUGCUGCUGCUACUGCCGCCACCUCCUCUGCAGCUGAAACUUCUGGCACAGCCAUUCCUCAAAUGAAGUCGGUGCCACCAAAACCAAAGGCUUCAAAGCCUCGGGAGAAAAUGCUUCCGAAAGCUGCACCAGCAUCCGCACCAAAACUCUCAGCACCACCAAAGGCUUCAAAGCUUGAACACAAGCAGAUUGUGAAGCAACUGCCUACUGUCUCUAGCUCCUCUGUUCCUUCUGCAACAAGCUCUGAGACAAAGUCUUCACCAACUCCAAUGAAGACUAAGGUGACUGCUGGGAGAGGAACCAGACCAAGCCCUGGCUAAAUCAUCAAAGUCCCUUCUGCAUCAGAAGGCAGUGAUGAAUAUGAUGAUGAGACUCUGCAAGCCAUCAUCAGAAACAAGCAGGAGAGGGUAGCACAAGCUUCAGGCAGCGCCAUUCCUCUGGCCAUGGACCCAAAAGUCCUCUUGGAUUACAUCAACAUAUGGUAUGAGGACCCCAACACUCCUAUUGAUGAUUUGAAGCUUCCUCCAGGCAUCAGCCACAUGGUGGCCACUUUCAUCAAUGAGGCCAAGUGGAAGGAGACACAAGCCAAACAAGCUAAGGCUGCGAAGCUCAAAAAAGGAGAAAUUCCUCAGACAGAAUCUCCUCAACUUGACGCCUGAUGCACUUGUGUCCACUCAGGCAGAAUUGAAGACUUUGACUGACAAGUACACCAAGCUCUCUGAUCGUCAAAGUCUCAAGAACAAUUUCAUCAAAUUUGCUACAGAUGCAGUUGAUAAUUACAACAAGAAGGCUGCCCCUCCAGCAACAACACAACAGCCUGAGAUUGAGGAACCACAAACUGCCCCUGCUGAGGAAAUCCCUCAAGAAAGUCGUGCUGAUGAACCGGCUAUUGAGGAAAUAACCAAGGAAACUCCAACUGAUGACUCUGCUCCAACUGAUGAAACUGCUCCAGCUGAUGCAUCUAAGCCAGCUGAUGACUCUGUUCCAGCUGAAGAAACUGCUUCAGCUAAGGAAAGUGCCAGGACGGAUGUGUCUCCGCCUCCUGAAGAGAAAAUGUCUUCACCAAAAUCUUCAAAUGUGAAGAAAAUGACUCCGUCUGCAUCAGACGUGAAGAAGACGAGCUGCUGAAAAGGAAGCUAAAAAGAGAAAAGCUUCCUCAACAGAAGAAUCAACUAAGACCAAGCGCCUCAAAUCUCUUGAUGAAAAUGGUCCUCUGGAGCAUGUGCCUCUCAACAUUGCUCCAUCUUAUGAGAUGACUCCCUUCGAAAGCAAAGACAAGGAGCACUUGACUGAUCAGGAAAUGAAGAAUGCUGCGUCUGAGGAACACACUGAUGAGGAAAUUCAGAUUGAUGACGGUCCUCAGACCUUCAUUCCUCCUGAAGAACCUGCUCAAGGAUCAGCUGAACCAGUUGAUGAAUUUGGCUCCUCCACCAAGCAAACCCCUCAAGCUGAGGAAAAUCAAGGAGAAAAUCUUCAGCCUGAAGAAAAUCCAAAUCUUGAGCAAAACCCUCAACCUGAGGCUCAGGAUGAAGAUAUUCCUCCUCCUGAGCAAAAUCCUCAACCAGAGGCUCAAGUUGAUGACAUUCCUCAACCAGAGAAAGAUCCUCAACCUGAAGCACAAGCAGAAGAAAUUCCUCAUCCUGAGGAACAUGCUGAAGAAAAUGCCCCUGCACCAAAUCCAGAGAAUGCUCUAGUCGUUAUCAAUCCAGAAACUGCGAUGAUUGUCUCCCCUCAAGGGAAGAAGCAAAACCUUCAGCCGAAGCAACGUCAGCCAUUCUCCAAGCGGCCAAAGUUUCAAAAGGAAUCCUUCUUUGAGGAACGCAUGUAUCUCAUCGAAGAAAAUCCUUAUGAAAAGCCUCGCAUCAGGCACCUGAAGUUCUGGACCAGGACUCAGCUCAACUACUAUGCAUCCGUGAUGUGUGGAAGAAACAAGAUUUUUCAGCACAGGCAUAUUCCUCGUGUUGAGCUUGAACAAAUCCCGGGCUUUGCCCCAGUCCUCAACGUUCUUCAUGAAGCAGGACUGCUCCCUAUGUGCUCUGAUAUUUGUGAUUGGAAUAGUGACGUUGUUCUUCAAUUCUAUGCAACUCUACACAUCUCUGGAGAUCCAUCAGAUAUCAACACUUGGGUGCUGGAUUGGAUGACGCAGCACACACACUUCAAGGCCCCUACGAAUGAGCUGCUGCGAGAACUUCCUGUGUCAAUUCCUUCAGAGCAGGCUAUGAAGAUGUAUGAUGAACGGGAGCUGCCGAAUAAGCUGAUGGAAGUCCUCAUGAAGCCUUUGGCCAAGGGGCAACCACCAAGAACAACCUUCUUGGUCCAUGAGCUGAAGUAUGAACCCAGGACUGUUUACAGAAUCCUGUGUAGUAUUCUUGCGCCAAUCAAGGGUCAUGAUGAUGAAGAAGACGUUGUAGGCAUCAUGAAGAAUAUCCUCUUCAACAUCAUCCAUGGCAUUCCCAUCAACAUUCAUGAUUUCUUCUUGAGGACUCUGGUGGAUAAUGCUAUGUCCCCUUUUGACCUGAAGAUUUACGCUUCAUGGAUCAUGAGAUUCAUCAGACGAAGGUCGGGCAUCAACUAUCACGCUGAUUUCAAUAAUCACCAAGGAUAUAUGCCUCCACUAAGGGUCAACAAGAAGACUUUCGAGCCUGUUGAAGGAAAAGCAAAGUUUGUGAUUGAUGAAGGCAGUCAGCCCCUUGAUGGCCAGCUCCGAGAGCCAGAUGCAUAUUACUCGUGGGAUGACACUGAAACCCAUCCACCAAGUCCUGUUGCUCCAAGGGUGAUGAAUACCAGAGAGCUUCUCCUAAGUCUUCACCAAAAGGUUGAUCGAAAUCACAAGUGGGUCAAACACCAGUUCGGCGCCAUUGUGAAAACCCUCAAUGAGACUCAGAAUGCCGUGAAGCUUAAUCAUCAUUAUCUUCAUGAGGUUUUUGAUCGCACCUGGGCCACACUGGCUCAUUUGAAGACUCCAGCAGAACUUGAAGAAUUGGAGUUUGCACAGGACUUCGACUGGUCAUGGCCACCAAAGAAGAAAUUCAAGCCAAUUCCAGUUCCGGACCUUGAGGACAGUUCGUUUUCUUCAUUCCACACUGCUGAAUCAGAUGAAGAUCAACAAGACACUGCCACUGGUCCAAGGAGGAAGUUUGCUUCCAAGAAUCCUCACGCAUCUUCAUCAACUGCCAAGAAGUGAAAGUCUUCACGGGAUGUUAGUCCUCAGUUUGUCCCUUUUUGUCACUUGAUGACAAAGGGGGAGAAAUCUGAGAGUUAGUCUUCACGUGGGGAUAUAUUUUGGGGCUUAUAAACUUUAUUUAAGUUACAAACUCUUGUCUCGUCUGAAGUGUUUUAUGUAAUGAGUUGUAACUUAAGCCCGAUGGUACUCUGACGCUUUUGAACAUUUUUCUUCGCAUGCUUAUUCCUCAAAAUAUUAAUGCACGUAUGCUGGAAUUCGUCAGAUACCAUUUCUCAUCAUGCAUUCUCAAUUUCUUCAUACUAUAUGCCAAAUGUAUGCAUGAUUUACAAGACUCACGGGGAGAUCUCCAUGAUAUAAAUCAUCAAUGUGAAUUUGCUGUGAAAAGCAAAACCCUCAAGAUAUGCACAUCUUCAGGGGGAGUCUCUCUGAAUCUUGAUUUCAAAUUCCUCAAAUGAGUAUUUACACUCCAUAUUUUUAUCCCCGUUGAAGACUUAACCUAAUUGUCAUCAACCACCAAAAAGGGGGAGAUUGUAAGUGCAUCUAGUGCCCCUUAGUGAUUUUGGUGGUUUGAAGACUUAUAGGUUAAGUAUCUAAUGUGUUCAUGAGUGUACACAGGAUCUAUAAGUCGCUGAGGAGUUUGAAAUAUUCGAUGAAUAUCGACCCCUAAAAAUGUAUAUCUUCGGCUGAAGAAAUUGGUCUAAAGCUGAAGAAUUGAAUCGUGAAGAAAUUGCGAUGAAAUUGAUAUUCCUCAUGAAGAAAUUGAAGAUGAGGAAUUCGGUGUGUCCUGAAGAAAAACAAUCUGAAGAUUUUGAAGCAUGAAGAUUUAUUCUAUCUGUUUUAUUUUCUUCACCUUUGAGUCAUAGGAACACCAUACUGUUAAAGGGGGUCAAAGUAACACGUCGGGAUGAAUUUCCUGAUGAUGCUCAGCCCAAGCCUAAUCCUACCAAAAGCCUCGAGUGAGGAAUAUGAGAGACAUGAGGACUCUCACAGUUGAGGGUCCCGACAGUUACCGCAAGUCGCACCACAUCACUGAUCUUAUCCACACCAACGGUCAUAUUAUUUAAGGGCAUUAAUGUCAAAUCAUGUCGGGAUGCUCCGAGGCUAUAAAUAGCUGCCCCCCACAACCAUUAGCUGGUUGGCUGCUCUGUUGGAAACUGACACUUGUCAUAUGAGCAACCCAAAUUCCUCAAAGUCUUCAAGAGUAAUUCAUCAGUGAGGAAAUACCCCAAACACCAAACCACAAACCGAAAACCAAGUGAUUGAGCAUCAAUGAAGAAGUUGUUCCUGUGUGGGACUGAAGCAUUUUACCUUUGAGGACUGUGCAUCCUCCAGACGGUUAGGCGUCAUGGUCUAGAGCAAUCCAGCAGUUAAUUGUGGAUCGCCAGGUGACCAAGUUUGUGAGGGUUUGGAAGUGUGCCCUGAAGACUUACCACGAGUGUUGGGCGAGGACUGUGUGUUCUUAGCCCAAGGAGAAUACGGUAGGGACUGUGUCUCCCGGGACUGUGUGUCUUUUGGUUUCAAUACCAAGCCGCUCCAAACCAGAUGUACAACUGUCAUAGCAGUUGGAACUGGGUCAUCAACCACUGUCUUCACUGUGAAACGGGUUCUAUUUCUUCAACUCUUUAAAUUCCUCAUGUUGUAUGUUGAUGAUUUUCACUGGCACUGUUUGAAGAAUUUGCUAAAGACUUCCUCUGAAAUUCCACAACCCCAAAUUCUUCACGCGAGUUAAUCCUCAUCUAUUUUCUCCGUGCGUGCAUACUGUGCAAACUGCUUUUCAUAUUCUUCACCUUGAAAACUGUUGUAGUGAUACUUUGCACUCCUGAUCCUUUGUUUCUUCCGCUGCAAGUUAGUCAUCAGUGAGGAAUUUCCUCAAAAGGAAUUUCCUCAGUGAUGAAAUUCUAAAAAUCUCCUAUUCCCCCCCCCCCCCUUCUAGUCGAUAUAACGCACUUUCAGCUAUCUGCUCGCGGCUAAAUGCUUAUGUGGAGAUGCCCCUUGAUGCAAGAAAGGAAUAAUAUUGGCUCAAGCUUCAAGCUAGAAGACUCUUCAUUUUAUAUUUGUGAGAAAUCACUUUUGAGUCCAUAGGAAAGCCAAUACUAUUAAAAGGGGAUGAGAUAGUUAAAUGAACGGAUUUCUCAAAAUGCUCAAAGUUAGCCACCGAAAUACUCAUUCAUUUUUCCCACAUAUCCACUCUGUCAAAUUCCAUAUACACAAAUUCGGUGUCACCAACUUUCACAUUUCGGACCCACCGCGUUUGGCCUUAGACAGAAACCCUAGCCAUUCCCACCAAAUCGGUGCAACCGAAUCCAUAUUGGUGCUACCGAGUUUGGGUGACCAACUUUUGGGUGCCUCGAUACACAAAAUCGGAAUUUCCGAGUUCGAGUAUCGGUGCCACCGAGUUUGGUCAUCUGACCGUUAGCCACCUUUUCUGUGUCACCGAGUUUCAUACAUCGGUCUCACGGAGAUUCAAAAGUUGAUGCCUUUAGUGCUAAUUGGUACCACCGAGUUUUUCACUUCAGUGUCACCGAGUUUGCCACUUUGUGAGUAACGGUUGGAUUUUGUGUGAUGCCUAUAUAUACCCCUUCACCCACCUCUCAUUCCUGGGAGAAGCACUCAGAACACACACUUCAUUGCCAGAUCCAUUUUCUAAGAGAGAACCACCUACUCAUGUGUUGAGACCAAUAUAUUCCAAUCCAUCAUUUGAAACUUUAUCUCUAGCCUCCCCAAACAGCUUUCCAUCAAAUCAAUCUCUCCUACCCAUGCAUAUUCAGUGAGAGAGUGAUUUUGUGUUGAGGAGACUAUCUUUAGAAGCACAAGAGCAAGGAGUUCAUUGAUCUACCACGUCUAUUACCUUUUGGAGGGUGGUGCCUCCUAGAUUGGUUAGGUGUCGCUUGGGAGCCUCCUACUUCAUGUUGUGGAGUUGAACCAAGACUUUGACGUGAGCACAAUGAUUGUUCUAUUUGGAGUUUCUUCUUCUUCUUCAUUUAUCUAGGAUGGAUUCCAGGCCGAUAGCUUGGGAUAGCAAGGAUGGAUGUCGUUCUUUUAUCGUUUGUUUUCGUUCGUAUCCGGACCCUAAUCUUCUUCACAAUGAUUGAUUAUGUUGUUGUAUUGAUGUGAUCUUGAUGUAGCUUGUGGUGAGUGUAAGCCAACUCCUUAUACUCAUCUUUUCAGUACAUGUACUCGUAUCGAUAUCCAUUCUUGCGAAACGACGAGAUGCGUUUCUAUCCCUGUCGAGGCCCUCACGCCAAAAUAAGGAUAGGGCAUCUUGGGCCAAUUUGAAACGCACAAGAUGCGAUCCUAUCCUUAUUUUGGCUCGAGGGCCUCGACAGGGAUAGAAGCGCAUCUCGUCGUUUUGCAAGAAUAGAUAUCGUUACAAGUACAUGUACUGAAGAGAUGAGUAUAUGGAAUUGGCUUACACUCACCACAAGCUACAUCAAGUUUAAAUCACUACAACAACAUAAUCAAUCAUCAUGAAGAAGAGUAGGGUCCGACUAAGGACGAAAACAAACGAUAAAAAACGACGUCCAUCCUUGCUAUCCCAGGUUGCCGGCUUCGAACCCAUCCUAGAUCGAUCAGGAAGAAUAAGAAACUCCAAAUAGAACAAUCAUCGCGCUCACGUCAAGGUAUCGCUUUACUUGUACCUGCAACUGGUGUUGAGUAAUCUGUGAGCCACAGGGACUCAGCCAUCUCAUUUCCAAAGGUAUCAAUACUAGCAAAGCAUAAUGGGUGAGGUAUGGUUAAGUGGUGAGGCUGCAGCAAGCGACUAAGCAUUUAUUUGAGGUGGCUAACUUAGAAGUACAAGAAUAAGACGGGGAUGAUCUACGCACAUCGGACGUGAACUAACAAUGAUCAAAUGAAUGAUCCUGAACCCUACUUACAUCUGACAUAACCCACCAUGUCCUCGAUCGGAGAAGGAGCUCAAGAAAGAGACAAUCACGGUUACGCACAGUUUACUUCAAGUUAUCUAGAAUCGGAUGUUAAACAAAGUUUCCAAGUUUGUCACAUAACCGCGGGCACGGCUUUUCGAAAGAUUUAACCCUUUAGGGGUGCUCCAACUAGUCCAUCAUAAGUUACCACCAAUCCACAUAGAAAGCCUCGACCACGAAACUCAUGAUCUCCUCGGAUUCCUUAUUGGAAAACCUCAACUCUGAGACAGCCCAAAGCAUCACCGGAAUCCCGAUGCACAAGAUAUUUCGUAAACGGUAAAACUAAUCCAGCAAGGCCGCCCGGCGUGCCGAUAGAGCCGAUGGGAGCCGCGUAUCUCGUUCUCAGGGCACGACCGGAUGAGCUAGAUGUCGGGUUGGCUCAAACUCCGGGUGACCAGGGGGCGCUCGACAUCGCUCAUGUUGGACCACCACUCAUGAGGACCACUGGCCCGGGAGUUGAUUAAUUUCCUUGGGGGUCGACUAGUCCCUAUGCAAGUUUAUUAGUUAUUAGGCAAAUGUAGUACCAAAGUUGGGCCUUGCCAGACAAGCUUUAACUAAGACGAGUUAUCAAGGGGGUCCCCAUAACAACCCCGAUCGUGUUAGGAGCGCUCAAUUAUGGAAUAUAACACCGGUAGCCGAAACUAAGGCGACAAAGGUGGAACAAAACACCAGGCUAGAAAGGUCAAGCCUUCCACCUUUUACCAAGUAUAUAGGUGCAUUAAUUUAAAUAGCAUUAAUAUGGUGAUAUAACAAGGAUCCCAUGUUAUCACAUGGAAGCAACUGCACCUGCAACUAGCAACGCUAUCCAAUGGUUAAGCAACCGGUAACAUAGCCAUUUAGUGGUUUGCUAGGUUGUAGAAAGGUUGAAGGUUUUUAUGGCAAUGUUGGAAGGCUUAUUAAACAGGUGGUAGGCAUUGAGACAUAGCGAUAGAAAUGAAACAACUAGCAUGGCAAUGAUAGUAAUGGUAUCUAGGGAAAUGAUCAUCUUGCCUGUGAUCCGGCCUGGAAGAAGAACGAAACCCUCAAGUAGACGAACCAACAUAGUCGAACGGAUCCUCACACUCUGAAGCGGAUCGGAGCUCUAUCGAGAAGAAGCAGACUGGAAAAAGAAUCAACACACGAUAUUCACCACGACACAUGCACGAUAUGAUGCAAAACCUAAUAUGAUGCAUGUCCAUUUCAAUUAUGCAAGGCAUGGCAUGGCAAUUCACAACAUCAAACACUACACAUUAAGUGAAGCUCAAUAUGCAACGAGUUGCAUAUUGACGAAACUCCACAUUCGAAUUAUUUAAUUCACUCCCGUUUAGGUACACGACAAUUUUAAAAUAUUGUUCACAUGGCAAGAGGUGAAGCAUGUGAUUCUACACGUCAUUCUAGUCGGUUACACAUAUAGCUCAUCUCCGACGGAGUUACGGCCUACAAGAUACGGGCAACGCAAGAUAUUAUGCCAUGAAUACAACAUGCAUGCAAUUUUAUUAAACACUGGCAAGAAGGAUAUGAAGCAUGUGUCACCAUGAGGAAAGAAAGAAGACCAUGGGGCAAAGCGGAAACGAUGCCACGGCAACAUUCCGGUCCCGAUAACUCGACGAGAUAUCAGUACCAACGAAUUUUGAGCGUGUGCAUGUCAUGCCAAAGAAUGAUGGGGUGAUCCCGGUAACCAGGUUCCCAUGUGUCGGGGCACGACAAAAGAGGGACAACGUGCAACGAGCAAUCAUAUAUGGUGCAAGGAUACGGUUCAACUCAUACAUCACAUGUAUUCGGUCCACGGCAUCGUCCCAACGGUUAUACCUUUGAAGCGUGCAUUUCGGAGCGGAUCGAGGUUCGUCGAGGGAAGUAGUCGUACACGUGUCGUCGUGGACGUCGUUGAAGUAGUCGUACACGCAUCUUCGGUGAUGGUAGUUGUACACGGUUGGUGACGAACUUGACGUAUCCACGAUCUUCGGAGGUCGACGGUAGUGGUUCCCGUAGUUGUUCACGUGUCAAAUCGUUGGCCUUGAUGAAUCGGAAGGGAUACUUGGCGAUCCAAGGGUGCUCAUGUUCAAGGAGGUCUCGGUUCCGGUGAUGGCAGCAAAGGAACAUGGUCGUCUUGCACUUGCGUGAACCAAAUCGAAAUGACACAAAAAAUUACGGGUGACGCAUCCAAAUGGCCAACCUAAACCAGUUGCAUCUGAGGGCAGCAAGGAGCCACGACAAAGGUCAGCGACAACAACAACACACAGGAGUGGCAACAGCAUGCUAUAGCAACAGCAGGCGGUAGAAGCAGCAAACAGUGGAUGUUGGAGGAAGCAAAGGGCUCGGGCAGCUUGUGUGCAGGGGAGAAAACGGCGCAGCCUAGGCGCUGGCAGCUGUGAGGAGGCGGGCAACAUCGCAUGGGUUCUCGAUAGAGGCCAAUGCCAUGGGAGGCGGGAGGCGGUCGAGCGCCAUGGCUGGGAAGGAGGGGCUCGAGGCGAGCUCCUCAUGGCUGGCGGGGCAGCGGGCGAGACCGAGCUGGGCCGUCUCCUAGGAGACGCUGCGUCAACGCUCGCUCGAGAGCGACCACGAGGGGUUGCUCUCAUUCUCCACGAAGCAAAACGAAGGCGGCACGACCCCUCGUCGGAUUGGGAGCAGGACGCAGAGGGGCGACAAAUCCUCGCCGGAUCUGGAGGUGGGCGAUUUAGCGGACCAAAUCCGAGGCGGAGCAGCAACGCAUGACGGCGAACGAAGCUACGGCACGGCUGGCGGAGCUUGCGGGCCGACCAUGACAGCGAGCGAAGCAGGGGACAUGGCGGCGACAGGCGAUGAACUUGGUGCUGGCAGGGAGCUUGGGGCGGAGGCGACCUCGAGGCCGGCAACGGAGUAGUCUGCGGGGCUGCGUCGACCGGCGAGCGCGCUGCUGCGACAGCGGGCACGGCGGCGAGGCCUGGGCGUGAUGAGGGCGGCUGUUGUAGAUGCGUGGGGACGAGGAGCAUCUCCUCGACGCAGAGGAGGCACAUGCGACUGCGGGUGCGGCUAUGUGUUGCGGGUGUGACGAGGCUCUCGGGCCCUGGCUGCUCGAGAGAAGAUGGGCGCUUGCGCGGCUGCGGUUGGCUGGGCUGGAUCGGGCAGGGGCGGCACUGGUUGGGCAGAUGGGAUCUAGGAGGAUCCCGAGGAGGGACAAAGGGGGCGGCGGCGCUGCGGGGUUAGGGUAGGCUAGGUCUAGGGUUAGGUCAAGGUUUGUCGAAAAUGGACUAGAGGCACACUAUAUAUAGCACGAUGGUUAGUUUUAGGGGCAUGUGGACCCUCUGAUUUAGAUCGGGUGGUCGAGAUAAUUAGGUUAGGAAGUCCACUCAAGAAACCGAUGACGCUUUGCAGUAAAACGGGGUUGAUCUAAACCCAACGGUCAAGACUGUCUGAUUCGUUCUGGGGGAAGUCUCGGGCUAGGUUGCGCGUAGGGUCGGUGCACUGUGCGAAGGGGCUAGGCAUAGAAGAGCGAAGGGGCUAGGCAUAGAAGAGAGGGAAAACGUACACCCGGCAUGAGGUUUUUAAAACACCAAAACGUCCAACAUUUGACCGGCUAUAGUGUCGCUAUAGGUUUAACGGUUCGGAUUCGAACGAACUCCGAUUGCGAUGAAACUUGGCAGGCGGUCUACCUAUAACUAAAUAAGAUCACACGCCAACUUUCAACCCAUUCAGAAAAUGUUUUAUACACACUUUUAAAAAUAAUAUUUAAAUGAUGUCGCGGGCGCGUGUGUGUGGUUGGUCUCAAAACGGUCAACGACAAAAGGAGAGAACCGACAACUACUAAUGGAUGCAAGUUUUGAAAACUGGCGACAACGAAGUGCCGAUGCAAUGCAGAUGAUGCGCAUGAUGCGAUGAUGAAUGCGACAAAUAAAAUAAUCACACUGUGGCAACCGAAUAAAAGGAGAAUCUUUUGGAGCGUCGGUCUCGGGCUGUUACAGUUACCUUCAGGUGAACUUACACCGGUGUGAUAUUAACCUUCUUUAUUGGGGACUGGUUAUCUUCCUAUGCAAUCACAUUCGUUCUGCGUACUUGACAAUCUGCAAGUUUCUCAUCCGUCUUAUUCAAGUCUUGGUACGCCAGCGCUUCUAGGCGCCUACACUAUACCACAUGCUUCGGUAUGCAGAUUCCAUGCGAAACUCUCGUGGUCAAACUGGUGAUUUUAGGAAAUCGAUAUGUGUCAACAGAUUGAUCUCUCGACGUCUUCAUCCAUCUCCAAUGAUCGACAUGUGUUUGUGUGUGGGCCUACCCAUCGCUAUCCACAGCUAGCCUUAUCUCUUCAUUCGAUGAAGCUAGUCCACACUUUCUCUCUGCCAAGUCUUUCUUUCCUCUGUUCUUCGUCCGCCUUCUCUCCUUUGCUCCUCAUGUCUCCACCAUCGCUCGUCGGUGCUAUCAAAAAACACCACCGAUGUUGCCCCCGUGCGCGGGGAUGGUGGUGCCGCCGUUGUCUCUGCUGUAAAAUCCGCUUUCUUGCAAACUCGAGGGGCGGGGCAAAAUCGAUGGUGCAUCCAUCCUGCGGCGAGUAGCGGUCGGGUACUCGCUGGCGAUAGUUCUUCAAAGCAACACAAGAUGGGUGAGGGAGUCACAUGUUGCGAUGGUCAUAGUGCUGGAAGCAUUGAAUUGUACGACAGCGAUGAGAUCUUGGCGCCAACAUCAUUGUUGCAUUCCCUCGCCACAUUAUCCUUCAUGGAGUCGUCGGUGCUACACCAGACUCCGACCAGACUUACAACGGCAACGAGGUCUCAAUGCCAACAUCAUUGUAGCAGUCCAGCUCGUUGACGAUGCCACAAUGCAACUACGGAGGGGAUUGUGUGCUUGGAAGGAUGACGAUGCCACAAUGCAACUACGGAGGGGGUUGUGUGCUUGGAAGGAUGACGAUGCCACAGUGCAACUACGGAGGGGGUUGUGUGCUUGGAAUGAUAUAAUGGUGCCGAUUCAUACGAUGGUUGGGCCACCGAUGUCCGAUGAAGCAUCGCCGUGGCACUAGUGUUGCGGUGAAGCAUCAUCAAAGCUGAUGGUGCUUCGUUGAAGCAUCGUCGGCACUGCAAUGUAGCAUGCACGUCACAACACUGGCGAUGCCUUGCAAUGUCCGUCAAAGCUCGCCGGAGCUGUGAUGUGCCGCUCGUCAGUGCUGCUAUGCAGCAGCGUGCAUGCCGUUGUAGAGAGGCUGCUCGGUGCUGCGUUGGAGGCAGGAGUGGCGGCAGUGCUGCACUGCAUCAAUGGUGAGGGCUGUGCUGCUACACUGCAUCAAUGAUGGCUGAUGAUGCUGCAAAGUAGCAUCCAUGGCGUCUCCGACAACACGAGACGGUGGCUAGCAUCGCUGCUGUACAGCUGGGCAUUUCUUGGCGUAGAUGGAAGAAAAAAGGAAGAGAGACGCGCUGCACACCUGUUGGAUCGAACGACUAUAUGGACUUGAAUUGGACGGCUGAGCAAGCGGUUGAUCUUUCCUCAAGAUCAAUCGGCUGAUUUCUAGCAGCCCGGUGGUUUUUAGUUCUGGUGAAAAUGAACAAAACUUCUCUUUUCUAAAACUUUAACACAAAAUAAACCUAAUCUAAAAACUUUAACACAAACUGGACCGCACAAAAAAAGGGUCCCUUUUUGCACGACACCCCAGGCAAAAAGGGCAUUUUGUGAAAUAUUUUCUCUAUAUGCACCUGAAAAAUAUUAAGAAACUGUCAUUGAACAAUCUAAGAUAUUUAUUGAUAUGGAACAAAAGUUUAUAUAUAAAAACCCAGACGACUUGGACAUACUCCCCCCGACCCAAAAUGAAUGUCUCGUAUAAAGCUGAGACAAUUAUUUUGGGGCGAAGGGAAUACAAAGUAGGCCGCUGCUUCCAUACUUCGUCCAUGGAUGCUUCGGACACUCCAUUUGCUUGCUUGCAUAUUUGGACACUCCACUUGCUUGCUUGCAUAUUUGGACACGCCACUUGCUUGCUUGCAUAUUUGGACAAGGGAUGCUUCGAACGCCACUUGCAAAGAGAUUAACCCUAAACCAUCAGAACCAACGACAGCAUGUCUCUCCAAACAUAUAUGGGCUCCCAGUGCAAUCUGCAUUCUGCAAGAUGAAAGAAAAACAAGAACCAUGUGGUGACCCAUACCAUACAACCAAAUGCACAAAAGGGGGACAAUUAUAUGGUCCAGCAACGAUACAAGUUCCCAGUUAUAAAUGUUUAUGGUCCAUGUAUAAUAUCCUGAUGAACAAGCGCGGCAAACCGAAAACAAAGCAAAGCUAGUGCCAUCAAUGUUUCACAGAAUUUAUUCUUCCACCUCUGGACAUCUAAACACGAACGUCCGCCGGAUGCGUCUCCUCAGGCAGGCAAAGAUCGCUCCUAGUUAGUUCCCUCGGGCUUCUGUCAAGAUGAAGAGAUGUGUUAGUCCGUAGAAUAAUGUUGCAGUGAUAGCAAAAAGCAGCGCAAAUUGUAUCUCUAUAAGGACAGCGAUUACUUACAAACUGGCAAACCACAUAACCCUACAAGAAGCAUGGCAUGCCGAUAAAUCAUGGGAAAAUCUGAGCAUUUAGCUUUUCUUAC